rnacentral:rRNA from 1 species
AGUGAACGCUGGCGGUAGGCCUAACACAUGCAAGUCGAACGGCAGCACAGUAAGAGCUUGCUCUUACGGGUGGCGAGUGGCGGACGUGUGAGGAAUACAUCGGAAUCUACUUUUUCGUGGGGGAUAACGUAGGGAAACUUACGCUAAUACCGCAUACGACCUACGGGUGAAAGCAGGGGAUCUUCGGACCUUGCGCGAUUGGAUGAGCCGAUGUCGGAUUAGCUAGUUGGCGGGGUAAAGGCCCACCAAGGCGACGAUCCGUAGCUGGUCUGAGAGGAUGAUCAGCCACACUGGAACUGAGACACGGUCCAGACUCCUACGGGAGGCAGCAGUGGGGAAUAUUGGACAAUGGGCGCAAGCCUGAUCCAGCCAUACCGGGUGGGUGAAGAAGGCCUUCGGGUUGUAAAGCCCUUUUGUUGGGAAAGAAAAGCAGCAGGUUAAUACCCCGCUGUUCUGACGGUACCCAAAGAAUAAGCACCGGCUAACUUCGUG